rnacentral:rRNA from 1 species
CCUGAGAAACCCAAAAGAUCGAAUGAGGAGAUUCAUCGUCAGCGCAUUUGGUAUAUGUAUAAGUUAUGAUGUUGAGAAUUUUUUCUUGCACGUGCUUGUAUCAUUUAAUUGCUAGAUGUCGUCGGCGUGCACUUCUCCUCUAGUAGGACGUCGCGACCCGUUAGGUGUCGGUCUACGGCCCAGAUGGAUGUCUUUAAUGUGCACUUUAAUCAGUGUUAUUGUUGAAGACCACUGGUGUAUUCUAACCGGCUGCCUGGCGGUAUUCAAAUGGUAUUGAGCCGCAUUUAUUAAUGCGUCGAACUCACCACAAGCCAGAUCAGUGUUCUUAGUAGUACGGACCUAGUGCCGUCGCUCAGCCUGGUUAGCUGUUAGUUGUGUGAUGUUCUUCGACUGGCUUGAUUGAUAAUAUUAUUAUACCGGUCAGCGAUGCUACUGCU